GGACACAGCCUUCAAGGAUGCCCGCCCGGUUCAAACAGCGCCCGUAAACAAACACAGCAUUCCUCCUUUCUUAACGAAAGCAGGAUAUGAUUGUGUACACCUGAGGAUUUCGAAUAGUACGAGCGGCACGUCUUACUGCGUUGGCACUAUCCCUCGAAGCUCCACUGCGAGCACGUCGCUGUGUGCGCGGUCACAGCCGCAAUGCCCAGCUGUUGUGUGCCAGGAUGCAAGUCGCGCGGCUCACAAGGAGUACCAGCCACCUCCUACCAUUUGUUUCCCAAAGAUGCCGUUCGUCGGACAAAGUGGAUAGAAGCAAUUUGGCCCCCGCAUAUUCGCCGGGAACCUGCCAAGGAAGCUCAUGUUUGUUCGAAGCAUUUCUUAGAGGAGCAUUUUGAUCGCACGUCCGCGUUCAAAGUCCGCCUACGAGAGCAUGCAGUUCCUACUCUCUUGCUACCUCAUCCAGUACAACAAGG
rnacentral:lncRNA from 1 species